rnacentral:rRNA from 1 species
UGGGGAAUUUUGGACAAUGGGCGCAAGCCUGAUCCAGCCAUGCCGCGUGUCUGAAGAAGGCCUUCGGGUUGUAAAGGACUUUUGUCAGGGAAGAAAAGGAUAGGGUUAAUACCCCUGUCUGAUGACGGUACCUGAAGAAUAAGCACCGGCUAACUACGUGCCAGCAGCCGCGGUAAUACGUAGGGUGCGAGCGUUAAUCGGAAUUACUGGGCGUAAAGCGAGCGCAGACGGUUACUUAAGCAGGAUGUGAAAUCCCCGGGCUCAACCUGGGAACUGCGUUCUGAACUGGGUGACUAGAGUGUGUCAGAGGGAGGUAGAAUUCCACGUGUAGCAGUGAAAUGCGUAGAGAUGUGGAGGAAUACCGAUGGCGAAGGCAGCCUCCUGGGAUAACACUGACGUUCAUGCUCGAAAGCGUGGGUAGCAAACAGG